rnacentral:rRNA from 1 species
GAUGAACGCUAGCGGCAGGCUUAAUACAUGCAAGUCAAGGGGGUAGCAAUACAACCGGCGCACGGGUGAGUAACGCGUACACAACAUACCAUAUACUGGGGUAUAGCUUUGGGAAACUGAAGGUAAUCCCCUAUAACAUUGCGAGAGGGCAUCUGAUUGCAAUUAAAGUUUCGGCGGUAUAUGAUUGGUGUGCGUUUGAUUAGCUAGUUGGUAGGGUAACGGCCUACCAAGGCGACGAUCAAUAGCUGGCGUGAGAGCGCGACCAGCCACACUGGAACUGAGACACGGUCCAGACUCCUACGGGAGGCAGCAGUAGGGAAUAUUGGACAAUGGAGGAAACUCUGAUCCAGCCAUGCCGCGUGAUAGAUGAAGGCCCUCUGGGUUGUAAAUAUCUUUUAUCUGGGAAGAAACAAUCUUAUUCUUAAGAUCUUGACGGUACUAGAGGAAUAAGCACCGGCUAACUUCGUGCCAGCAGCCGCGGUAAAGUAGUCG